rnacentral:lncRNA from 1 species
UCUAGUUCCAUCCAUGUUGUUACAAAUGGCAUUAUCUUGCUCUUUUUGUGGCUAAGCAUUAUUCCAUUGUAUGUAUGUACCACGUCUUCUUAAUCCAUUCAUCUGUAAAUGUACAUUUAGGUUGUUUCCACGUCUUGGUUAUUGUGAAUAGUGAGGGUGAAUAUAUCUAUUAGAAUGAAAGUUUUGUCCAAAUAUAUGCCCAGGAAUGAGAUUGAUGGAUCACAGUGUAGUUCUAUAUUUACCCCUGAUUCUGUCCUUAAAUCAAAUUCUAAGAACCCUCUGAGUGUGGUUUAUCCUCACAAUAGGUCCUAUAAUUUUAUAUUCAUCUUUGCCUUAGCAGUCUUCUACUGGUAAUUGAGAUCACAGAUGUGCCACUUUUAUAAAGUGGAAUAUAUACAUAAUUUUAGCUAAGUCAAUAUUCUAUAAUAGUCAUUCUUAUUAUGAUACUAAUUUUUAUCUAAAACAAAGUUUUAUUAUUCUUCAUCUAAUCUUUUGCUUACACACCUCAGCCUACCUGAACUCCUUUUAUCUAACUGCCUUAUCUUCUCUUUUGAUCUCUUGUCUUCUGUAUUCUUAUAUUCCUUACUCCAUUCUCCUCCACCACUUUUGGAGACUUAUUACUUCAUGUCCCUCACUACCUCAUUCUACCAUGAUUGCAGAGCUAUGACAAUAUCUAGUAAAUAAGGGAGAGUAGUCAUGAGGCUGAAGUUAACCCACUAAGAAUGCAGUCUGAAAAAAAUGAUCUGUGUCUUGGAUUCUUAUUAUGGGAGAAAAACAACAGCAGUAAAAUACUAUUCAUUUUAGCCAAUCUUAGAUUUUCCAUUAAUUUCACUUAAAUAUAUCUCUAACAUAAAAUAAUCAAGACAGACUGCUGAGUGCAUGAAUAAAUGAAUGAAUGUAGAUUUGUCCAUUGUUAGCUUAAUCUCCCAAUGAUAUUUCUUUUGUAAAUGACUGUAUAUUUUGUUUGAUGCCAUUCUAAAUAGAAUAUCGUCAGGCCUUCUAUGCAUGUGUGCUAUCCCUUCCAAAUGAAUUAGAAACUUGUCAAAUAUAGAAGAUGUGACUUACUCUUCUUUCUAUCUCUACUACAUCAGUAUGUAACAAGAAUAUGAUGAUUACGAUGAUAAUGAUGAUGAUGAGGCUGAUAAAAUAAUGGUAACAAAACAUCUGCAGUUGAAAAUCAUUUAAUUCACUGUCAACUGCUCAUUUGCUUCAAACCACAACUGACUCUAUUCUACUACAUCCAAACAAAGCCAUUAUGAUAAACAGAGUUUGACAGAGCUAUAACAAUAGCAAUUGACCUUAAAUUUGCAACUUCAGUCUCAUACUGAAGAGAUCUUAAAACAAGGUCUCUAAUGGAUAUAUGCUUUGGCACGGCCCUCAAGCCCACAAAUGUGACUGCAUAAACUUAUAAACAGUCUGGUGAUCUUCAGAGAGAAUAACAGUUAAUCCGAGCUAAAUUUAUUACCAGCACAGCCUGUUCUUUUCAUUAAAGGGUUUUAACUCUCAGUUUUGCUAGCAAAAGUAUGGUAAUCUUUUUUCCCACACUAUUUAAGGUCAUUCUGCCACAAAUAGAAUAAAAAUAAAUAAGGAUGGAUCCAGAAAUACAGGAAAAUGAGAAGACUUCUUCACAGAAAUGUUCCAGAGCAACCGGAAUCUUAUUAAGGUAAGUGUAUGUUGAAAAGUAUGUGAAAUUUCCCCCAUCACUCUGUUUCCUACAUGUUACACCACAGCUUCUUUACCCACAAAUAGCUCUCAUCUAGGUUAGGUUAAAGAGUUAGCACAGCUUUCAAUGGGCAUUCUUAAGUUUGAGUCUUCUUAUGAAACCUACUCUACAAAUAGAAAUUCAUUAAAAAUACAACCUUCUAAAGUUACUACUUAAAGUCAUUUAGAAGGAAAGGCUGUGGGUUAUUGAUUCCCUUUCACCUCUUCUUUUUGUUGUUUUUGUAAAGUAUACAUUAACCCCUAUUUAUUCUGGACCAGACAUAGUCAUCUUAGGUUCUGUUCCGACCAGAUAAUUUCACCCCAAGUGACUAUUAGACUCCAGAAAUAAAGCUGUUUAAGGACAAGAGGUGUUGGGUUGAUUAAAAGAGUCGAGAUGAGGUUUUGAAAGUUUGUCAAACUGGAACAAGCUUUUAUCUCUCUAAUCAGUUCAAAUUGGUAUCUUAGGCAUGAAACAGAGGUUUCUCUUUACUCUUUUCUCAGUUACUGCUUUACUGCACUCUCAUAGUACAAACACAGGCAGUUUUUCUCUAGCUUCAAGAAGAGCUUAGCCACUAUCUAUUCUACAACUCAUCCCAUCUCUUUUCCUGUAACUUCUAAGGGUUAUGCCUUUUCUAGUUCCUGAAAAUAAGCAAUUUCUGAACCAUUAUAGCUUGAAGUUAUAUUUUGAAUUUUUAAAAGAACAAAAGACAUACAAAUGAAUCUAAGAUAUUAUAAAGCAAAGCAUGUGUGAACUGAGAGUAGUAAUGUCUUAUUUUUUUUUCUAUUUUUUAAUAAGACCAAAAAACAUUUUUUGGGGGGGUCUUCAAGGUAACUCUGGGGGUAAAUUAAGAAGAAAAGAUGUCCUGAAAUUUUAGAUGAGAAAUUUGAGGUUCAUAGAAGGAAUUUUUCAAAGUCUCACAGAUAUUAAAUGAUGCAGUUGGAACAUUGUCAUGGUUCUUCCGAUGCUGAAACUGCUGUCAGUCCCACAGCCUGUGCUGCCAUGCAGCCUCCAUGAGAUACUGGAGUGUUUGCUCCCAAUCAUUUUGCAAAACCAACUGCAUUUUAACUACUCUUUCAUGAUUUAUAAAAGCCAAUAAUUGUUCUUUUUUAGUCCUUCACAAAUAGCAUGUGUUAAUUGUGAACAACACCUUCAAAUACCUAAUAAGACACUUAACAAUGGAAUAGUUUGAAUUUAUAAAAUUGUGCACCACAGAAUUAAAAUUUAUCACCACACUCUUUAUGCCAGAUCACAUUGGAUUACUGGUGCCUCUUUUUAUGUUUCUUUUAAAUAUUUUCCAGGCAGAAAAAAAGCCCACACUGGUUAUGAAUUGUUUAUGUGGUCACUUCCAGAGUGACAAACCAUUUGAAGGAUAGACCUUAAUACAAAUUUGUAAUGGUCAAUCUCUUUUCUGCUAUGUGUAUGUGGGAGUAUGUGUGCAUUUGUGUGUAUAAUUAUUAUUUUUUAUGUUAAGUGAUGCUAAUGAUAAUGUUUCAUUAGAUUAAUUUUAAAAUUUAAAUUUAAUUAAUGAAGAUAGAGGUCAAUUUUAAAGAGUAUUAACUUUCAAAAUGAUUUUCAUAAAUAUAAAAAUAAUUUAUUUGAUGAAUAAUUACCUAAAAUUAAUUAUCAUUAACUAUAGAAAGUUUAUUUAUUUCUUUGUCACUUUAUCACUAUGUUAGAAAGAAUAUGUAAAUUAUGGAACAAAAACACAAAGGCAAAGGGAAGUUUUCCAUUUGACCCAAUAUCUGGAAUGCUUCUUCAGCACCUGUUGACAAAAGGCAUGCACUAUUUAUGUUACUGUAUGGGUAGAAUCAUACAAUUUCAAAUUAAGAAGAACCAUGUAAGUUUUCAUACAACCCCCUCACCCAGAGCAACAUUCCUUCAUACUCUUUCCCUUUAUAAAUAUAUGUAUCUUUCCUUGAUUGUCUUGGUAAGGGUAGUUCUGUGUUGUAUAAUACAGAGAACAAACACUUCAAUUGUUUAAAACUCAUUUGAGUCAAAAUCAGAGUCUUGUAACUUCCCUGCAAUGGUUUAAAUUGGGUUGUUUGGAAGAAAAGUUAUAAAAUCUAUUUUCUUUCUAUUUGUUAGGAUUUUUUUUUUAACAUUAAUGACCUUUAGUUUAAUCUUAAGGCUAAAUAUAUCUAGUUUCUUUGAUAGCAAUUAGAGCAGUAUAAUUUCUAGACAAUUUGCAAUGUUGAACAACUUCCUCUGAGUCCUACUCCUCAUUUUGCCAGUGUGUCCCUAAAAUGCAAAACCAUCAGUAAGGCAGGAGCUUCAGAGGUGAUAUGAUUUAUAUGAAAUGCAUCAGAAGAAUGACUUCUCAUUAUGUCAACAAAAUCCAUUCAUUAAUGAAGUCUAAAUUCAAUUACAUUACAUUAUAGCUUCUUUUUGUUUGACAGUGAGCAAAAUCCCCCAUGUCUUUCUACAUGGCAGCUUUUAAACCAGGUUUUCACUACUCAAAACUUUAAAAAUUAAUCAUUUUGGAGCUAAAUAAAAACUAUAAAAUUUAUCACAAUUUUAUUUUAUCCUUUUGAUGAAAGUAGUUUUAUUUUAUCCUAUUGAUGAAAAAUCAGGAGAAUGAUUUUGAAUCUAGAAUCAUCUAUGGCAUUGUUUAUUUUCCUUAUUUUGGUAUAACCACAAUUUUGAUAUAAAAAAAACUUUGUUAUUGUCACUUAAUUUUUUUUUUUUUUUUUACUGUUCCCACAGAAUGAGGAAAUUCUCUGGCCAGGGAGCAAAGACCACACCACAGUAGCCACCCAAGCCACUACAGUGACAACCCCAGAUCCUUAACCUGCAGAGUCCUUUCAUUUAAGUUUUUGAUGGAUCUUUGUUUUUCAAGGCUAAGGGCAGAAUUAUAGUAAAACUGACACUUUAGGUUGAUAAAGUCCUAUUAUCUGACAUUUUAAAUGAGAGGGCAGCUGGAGUAAUUAUUUCACUAAUUAUGAAUCUACAUAUUGACACUAUCAUAUAAUUCACAUAUUCCCAUUUAACAAGAACGUUAUAUGAGAUGUUGAGGGAAUUUAUAUGAAAGCAAUAUAACCUAGAUCUAAGAAAUUCACUUGUUCUAAUGAAGUACUUCGGAAAAUGUUUUCAAUGACAGUUUUUCCAUGAUAAUCCAAAUGAAUUCAUUAAUUACCUAUUUAAUAAUAUAAUACAGAAUUCUAAUAUGUUAAAGCAACAAAAAUAGCCUUUCUAAUUCUCAGUAUCCACUUUUUGUUUGUUUAUACAUUGUUUUGACAGUGGAUAGAGUGGUGUGAAGUAAAAAUGACACAAUUCUGUUUCUUAUUUGACAUUUUCUGUUCUUCAUUUAUUAAUAAUUUUUAGGAAAAAAACAACUUUCUCUUCAAGAAUGAAACAUUUUGGUGUUCCCAUCUUGGCUCAGUGGAAUUGAAUCUGACUAGUAUCUGUGAGGAGUCAGGUUCAAACCUUGGUCUCGCUCAGUGGGUUAAGGAUCCAGUGUUGCCAUGAACUGUGGUCUAGUUUGGAGAUAUGGCUCAGAUCUGGCAUUGUUGGGGCUACAGGCCAGAGGCUACAGUUCCGAUUCUACCCCUAGGCUGGGAACAUCCAUAUGCCCUGGGUG